rnacentral:lncRNA from 1 species
CGGGAUUUUAAUAUUCGGAUUCCAACUUGUACUGGAUAGGAUUUUCUGGUUGCAACUCUGUGUUCAAACCAUAAGCUGUCCCAAAUCAAUUUACUGGGUUGUAUAGGUAAUAGGCUAGCAGUUGAGGAGUGGAGACUGACUCUGGACGUCUUCUAGGUAGGGUUUAGGAUCUGGCUCUUAGGGGCAGGCAAGGCAGAAGGCCAUAACCAGAUUCAGGGUACACUGAAAAAAACA